GACGAACGCUGGCGGCGUGCUUAACACAUGCAAGUCGAACGAAGUGGCGAACGGGUGAGUAAUGCGUAAUCAACCUGCCCUUCAGAGGGGGACAACAGUUGGAAACGACUGCUAAUACCGCAUACUGAAGGAGGGGAUUGUGUCUGAUUAGCUAGUUGGUGGGGUAACGGCUCACCAAGGCGAUGAUCAGUAGCCGGUCUGGGAGGGUGGACGGCCACAUUGGGACUGGGACACGGCCCAGACGCCUACGGGAGGCAGCAGUGGGGGAACUUCCGAAAUGGACGAAAGUCUGGCGGAGCAACGCCGCGUGAGUGAUGACGGCCUUCGGGUUGUGAAGCUCUGUUAAUCGGGACGCGGUACCGGAAUAGAAAGCCACGGCUAACUACGUGCCAGCAGCCGCGGUAAUUC
rnacentral:rRNA from 1 species